rnacentral:rRNA from 1 species
AGCGGCAGCGCGGUAGCAAUACUGGCGGCGAGCGGCGGACGGGUGAGUAACGCUUGGGAAUCUGCCUUUUAGUGGGGGACAACCCGGGGAAACUCGGGCUAAUACCGCAUACGCUCUACGGAGGAAAGCCGGGGACCGCAAGGCCUGGCGCUAAAAGAUGAGCCCAAGUCGGAUUAGCUAGUUGGUAGGGUAACGGCCUACCAAGGCGACAAUCCGUAGCUGGUCUGAGAGGACGACCAGCCACACCGGAACUGAGACACGGUCCGGACUCCUACGGGAGGCAGCAGUGGGGAAUAUUGGACAAUGGGGGCAACCCUGAUCCAGCGACGCCGCGUGGGUGAAGAAGGCCUGCGGGUUGUAAAGCCCUUUCGGUGGGGAAGAAAAGUUGCGACCUAACACGUCGCGACCUUGACGUAACCCACUAAAGAAGCACCGGCUAACUCUGUGCCAGCAGCCGCGGUAAUACAGAGGGUGCGAGCGUUAAUCGGAAUUACUGGGCGUAAAGCGCGCGUAGGCGGCUUUGCAAGUCGGGUGUGAAAUCCCCAGGCCUAACCUGGGAACUGCACCCGAGACUGCAUGGCUAGAGUAUCGGAGAGGGAAGUGGAAUUUCAGGUGUAGCGGUGAAAUGCGUAGAUAUCUGAAGGAACAUCAGUGGCGAAAGCGACUUCCUGGACGAAUACUGACGCUCAUGUGCGAAAGCGUGGGGAGCAAACAGGAUUAGAUACCCUGGUAGUCCACGCCAUAAACGAUGAGAACUGGA